GGGGGUGGUAGAGAGAGAGGUAUGGAUCUUAAUGAUGGACAUCCUGACUAGAGGAGGGGUGGUAGAGAGAGAGGUAUGGAUCUUAAUGAUGGACAUCCUGACUAGAGGAGGGGUGGUAGAGAGAGAGGUAUGGAUCUUAAUGAUGGACAUCCUGACUAGAGGAGGGGUGGUAGAGAGAGAGGUAUGGAUCUUAAUGAUGGACAUCCUGACUAGAGGAGGGGUGGUAGAGAGAGAGGCAUGGAUCUUAAUGAUAGACAUCCUGACUAGAGAGAGAGAGGCAUGGAUCUUAAUGAUAGACAUCCUGACUAGAGGGGUGGUGGUAGAGAGAGAGGCAUGGAUCUUAAUGAUGGACAUCCUGACUAGAGAGAGAGAGGUAUGGAUCUUAAUGAUGGACAUCCUGACUAGAGGGGGGGGGGGGGGGGGGG